rnacentral:rRNA from 1 species
AAUCAACGCUGGCGGCGCGCUUAACACAUGCAAGUCGAACGAGAAAGGGAGCAAUCCUGAGUAAAGUGGCGUACUGGUGAGUAACACGUGGAUAUCUACCUCUUGGUGGGGAAUAACCUGGGGAAACCUGGGCUAAUACCGCAUAAGUUCGUGAGAAGAAAGGCGCAAGUCGCCGAGAGAGGAGUCCGCGGUCGAUUAGGUAGUUGGCAGGGUAAAAGCCUACCAAGCCGAAGAUCGAUAGCCGGCCUGAGAGGGCACACGGCCACACUGGCACUGAAACACGGGCCAGACUCCUACGGGAGGCAGCAGUGGGGAAUCUUGCACAAUGGGGGAAACCCUGAUGCAGCGACGCCGCGUGAGCGAUGAAGCCCCUUCGGGGUGUAAAGCUCUUUUACCAGGGAUGAUAAUGACAGUACCUGGAGAAUAAGCUCCGGCUAACUCCGUGCCAGCAGCCGCGGUAAU